UUUUUUUUUUUUUUUUUUGUUCUUUUGUGUUUUUGCCUUUUCUAGGGCUGCUCUGGCAGCAUAUGGAGGUUCCCAGGCUAGGGGUCUAAUUGGAGCUACAGCUGCUGGCCUACACCACAACCAUAGCAGCGUGGGAUCUGAGCCACGUCUGUAACCUACACCACAGCUCACGGCAAUGCCAGAUCCUUAACCCACUGAGCGAGGCCAGGGAUCGAACCCACAACCUCAUGGUUCCUAGUCGGAUUUGUUAAGCACUGAGCCAUGACAGGAAUUCCUGCAGUUGGAUUCUUAACCCACUGUGCCAUGGUGAAAACUCCCCAUCUUUUUCUAGAGCAGUCUUUAAAGGGUUUUAAGGAGGGAGUCACACAGCAAAUCUAUACCGUAGUAUAGAGAGAAGAAUAGCUAGAAGUUGUGGGUCAUACUCUGGUUCUCCCCCUCACUAGCUCUGGUUCUUAUUGCCUCAGUUUGAACAACUGAAAUAUGGCAGUAGAUGCUAGCUCUUACCUCAUAAGUUGUCAUGAAGAUUACACGAGGAGGAACAUGUAAGUGCACAAAAAAUGUUAAUUGUUGUUUUCGUUGUUAUUAAUAACGAGGAGGAGGAGGAGUAGGCAGUGGCUCUUAAUGAAGGGUACACAACAGAAUCACCUGGGGCACUUUGCAAAAGUACACAUGCUCAACCUGGCCAGAUCUGCCAAGUCAGAAACCUAGAUUUUAAACACCAGGUCGUUCUGUUGCUUUUCUUGGUUAAGGACCAUUGGGCUGGAGGUGGGCAUGACUGAAAGCAGGAAGAUCAGCAGUUGGCCUCUGUACUGGUGAAGGCUGGAGAGUAUUGCGUAGAUUCCAAGCAGAGUGGAGAGGUGGACAAGAUGACGACCUUGAGUGGGGAGCAAGGGAGGAGGGGGAGGAGUCUGGGAUGACUCACAGGCUGCUGACUUGGAUGGCGGCUUGAGUAGGUGGAGGAUGAGCCAGAAUGGGGAAUACAGGAAGAGUGGUAAGGGGUGGGGAGUGGGCCAGAGAUUGUUAUAAUUCCCCUUGGGAUUGUUGCUUGGAGGCUUCUGGUGGAAAUACCAAAUUACUAUUUGGAUCUCUAGGCCUGAGCCUGUGAUGUUUUUCAGGGAGUCAUAGGUGUGAAGAAAUAAAGCCAUGGACCUAGUCAUAGACUGAACAUAGAGGGCAGAAGAGGGCCAAGUUCACAAGCAUCCACUUCUUGGAGGGCCUCCAUCCAAUUCUUACUCCCUCCCUAGAAAUAAAGAAGUGUUAUCGCACAGGUAAUACCUCCCUUGCUGAGGACCAUUGGGGAAUAAAAUCCGUCUUCUCACUUGAAGAUGAAUAACUGUGGGUAGCUUCCUUUCCUCUCAGGUCUCAAAAUUUUCCACAUCUGCUUAUGGAAGAGCUUAAUCUUCCAUCAGUAUCCUCAGAGAGCACAUUCAGUUAGAGGCAAUGUCUUACCUUCCAACAUCCCUUCACCCCGCCAUGCUUCACACAUACUCAGCCACCCAUGGCAUCUUACUAGAUUUUUGCAUUUAGAACUAUAGAUUUAAUAGAAAUAAUAGAAGAUGGGGAGUUCCUGCCAUGGCUCAGUGGUAACGAACCCAGCUAGUAUCCAUGAGGACGCAGGUUCAAUCCCUGACCUUUUUCAGUGGGCUAAGGAUCCGGCGUUGCUGUGAGCUAUGGUGUAGGUUAUAGACACAGCUUGCAUCCUGCGUUUCUGUGGCAUAGGCUGAUAGCUUUGAUUUGACCUCUAAUCUGGAAAUUUCCAUAUGCCUCAGGUGUGGCGCUAAAAAGCAAUAAUAAUAAUAAUAGCAAUGGAAGAUGUUGCAUUCUUGUGGGAAGGUGAUCCUAGAAUUAAUUAUUCGUUUACUCAUUCAGGAACAUCCCUGUCCAGGAGAACUUUCUGCACUGAUAGAGAUGUUCUUCUGUGCUAUAUAAUACAAUAGCCACUAGCCAGUCCUGGCUAGUGUAAUCUGAGGAGCUAUGUUUUCAUUUUAAUUAAAAAAUUUAAAUUGAUAAGGGAAAGGCAGGCACUAUUAGGUUGCAUUCACUGGAUCAGUAAGAGACUCCUAACAACCCCCUUGACUUCCCUACUAUGGAGUGCCCUGCAAAGGUAACUUUGAAAAUGAGUCUUGGAGUUCCCACCAUGACUCAGUGGAAAUAAAUCUGACUAGUAUCCAUGAGAACUCAGGUUCUAUCCCUGGCCUUGCUCAGUGGGCUAAGGAUCUGGCAUUGCCGAGAGCUGUGGUAUAAGUCACAGACUCUGCUCGGAUCUGGCAUUGCUCUGGCUGUGGUGUAGGCUGGUGGCUGUAGCUCCAAUUCAGCCCCUAACCUGGGAACCUCCAUAUGCUGUGGGUGUGGGCCUAAAAAAAAUCCCCAAAAAACUGGCAGUUACUGAUUAUGAAUUUGUACUUUGCAUCUUGAUUUGCUGCACCUUUAUAAUAAGCAGUUACGUAAGACUUAAGGAUGUUUUAGUUAGUCCAUGAAACAGGUAUGAAGAGGAGCAUUUUAAGAGAUGAAAUUUCUUUGAAAAAUAGAUCAAACUCUUGACCUUAACACACUAGCUAUGUUUGUAAAUAAAUUUAUGAUGUAAAUCCUUAAUGCCUUUUCUCUGAAAUAUGGAACAUGAUAAUCAUGCAUGUACUUACUUUUUUAUUUGGGUAAUAUUCCAGUAUUAGUUUGGGGGUUUUUUGUUUGUUUUUGGAUGCACCCACAGCAUGUGGAAGUUCCAAGGCGAGGGAUCAAACCCGAGCCAUAGCAAUGACCCAAGCCUCUGUAGUGACAACACCAGAUCCUUACCCCACUGCAUCACAAGAGAACUCCCAGUAUUAGUUUCUUGAUUAAAUAUGUGUGUGGUUUAAAAACAAGGAAAACAGAGUUCCCUGUUGGCACUGUGCAUUGGCCAUCUGGCAUUGUCACUGCUGUGGCUCAGAUCACUGCUGUGGCUCAGAUCACUGCUAUGGCA
rnacentral:lncRNA from 1 species